GGGCCCGUAGCUCAGCGGUAGAGCAGCGAACUCAUAAUUCGUAGUGCACUGGUUCGAAUCCAGUCGGGCCCA
rnacentral:tRNA from 1 species